CGAGUGGCGGACGGGUGAGGAAAACGUCGGAAUCUGCCUAUUUGUGGGGGAUAACGUAGGGAAACUUACGCUAAUACCGCAUACGACCUACGGGUGAAAGCGGAGGACCUUCGGGCUUCGCGCAGAUAGAUGAGCCGAUGGCAGAUUAGCUAGUUGGUAGGGUAAUGGCCUACCAAGGCGACGAUGGGUAGCUGGUCUGAGAGGAUGAUCAGCCACACUGGAACUGAGACACGGUCCAGACUCCUACGGGAGGCAGCAGUGGGGAAUAUUGGACAAUGGGCGCAAGCCUGAUCCAGCCAUGCCGCGUAUGUGAAGAAGGCCUUCGGGUUAAAGUACUGUCAGUGGGGAAGAACCGCCGGGUGGUUAAUACCUGCCUGGUCUGACGGUACCCACAAAGGAAGCACCGGCUAACUCCGUGCCAGCAGCCGCGGUAAUACGGAGGGUGCAAGCGUUGUUCGGAAUUAUUGGGCGUAAAGCGCGUGUAGGCGGUUUGUUAAGUCUGGUGUGAAAGCCCUGGGCUCAACCUGGGAAGUGCAUUGGAUACUGGCAAACUUGAGUACGGGAGAGGAUAGUGGAAUUUCGAGUGUAGGGGUGAAAUCCGUAGAUAUUCGAAGGAACACCGGUGGCGAAGGCGGCUAUCUGGACCGAUACUGACGCUGAGACGCGAAAGCGUGGGGAGCAAACAGGAUUAGAUACCCUGGUAGUCCACGCCGUAAACGAUGGGUACUAGGUGUUGGAGAAAUUCAGUGCUGCAGUGCCGCAGCUAACGCAUUAAGUGAGCCACCUGGGGAGUACGAUCGCAAGGUUGAAACUCAAAGGAAUUGACGGGGGCCCGCACAAGCGGAGGAACAUGUGGUUUAAUUCGAUGAUACGCGAGGAACCUUACCUGGGCUUAAAUGUAGGGCGACAGCUUGUGAAAGCAGGCUUUCUUCGGACGACCUACAAGGUGCUGCAUGGUUGUCGUCAGCUCGUGCCGUGAGGUGUCGGGUUAAGUCCCAUAACGAGCGCAACCCUUAUCGUUAGUUGCCAGCGGAUCAUGCCGGGGACUCUAGCGAGACUGCCACCGUAAGGUGUGAGGAAGGUGGGGAUGACGUCAAAUCAGCACGGCCCUUAUGUCCAGGGCUACACACGUGUUACAAUGGCCGAUACAAAGGGCAGCUACCAGGUGACUGGAUGCUAAUCUCCAAAGUCGGUCUCAGUUCGGAUCGAAGUCUGCAACCCGACUUCGUGAAGCUGGAUUCGCUAGUAAUCGCAUAUCAGCCAUGAUGCGGUGAGUACGUUCCCGGGCCUUGUACACACCGCCCGUCAAACAAUGGAAGAUGGGGGUACCUGAAGUCUGUAACCGCA
rnacentral:rRNA from 1 species